rnacentral:rRNA from 1 species
UUAGUGGCGAACGGGUGAGUAACACGUGGGCAAUCUGCCCUGCACUCUGGGACAAGCCCUGGAAACGGGGUCUAAUACCGGAUACUGAUCAUCUUGGGCAUCCAAGGUGUUCGAAAGCUCCGGCGGUGCAGGAUGAGCCCGCGGCCUAUCAGCUUGUUGGUGAGGUAAUGGCUCACCAAGGCGACGACGGGUAGCCGGCCUGAGAGGGCGACCGGCCACACUGGGACUGAGACACGGCCCAGACUCCUACGGGAGGCAGCAGUGGGGAAUAUUGCACAAUGGGCGAAAGCCUGAUGCAGCGACGCCGCGUGAGGGAUGACGGCCUUCGGGUUGUAAACCUCUUUCAGCAGGGAAGAAGCGAAAGUGACGGUACCUGCAGAAGAAGCGCCGGCUAACUACGUGCCAGCAGCCGCGGUAAUACGUAGGGCGCGAGCGUUGUCCGGAAUUAUUGGGCGUAAAGAGCUCGUAGGCGGCUUGUCACGUCGGUUGUGAAAGCCCGGGGCUUAACCCCGGGUCUGCAGUCGAUACGGGCAGGCUAGAGUUCGGUAGGGGAGAUCGGA